GGUCAACCGGAUGGCGCUAAACACUGGAUUCACGGUGCUUGGAUUAAUACCACCUCGGUUGGAUCCGGAUCACUGCCGUGAUUGAUCACAUUGUAAAAAUAGGCACGAUCAGGUCUUGCUUAAUGCGUGUUAAAGAAAAAAACUCAACUUACCCCACUGUGCUGAAUUACUGAUCCAGUUUGCUUGUUCUUGGUAAGGUUGGUGUCACACCCGAAGGGGUGGAGGUUCCUCGCAGUUUGGUCGACAAGAACAUGUAGGAGAAGAUCAGGAGCGCGCCAGCUUCGGCACUAGAAGCCAUGUCCACGUCUCCCAAAAAUUUUUACGCCCUUGGAUCACUGCAGUUAUUGGCUGAGAUUACGCGCCGCUGAAUUUGUUAGAAGCAGAAACAGCCAGCUUCUAGCUUGAUUAGUUCAAUGCACGGCUCCAUUCGUCAGCUUCUUGGACUUGCACUGUACAGACGUCUGCGUUAUAUAGGGACCCCAUUUGCCUCCGUCCAAAUCUCCCGGCUCAUUAAAGUUCUCCUCUUGUGUCUGGCCUCGUCGCCUCCACGCCUGCCUCCCCCUGGUUUUGUGCCCGUUCUUGUUGCCUCCGCCGUCGCCAUCUCCGCUCCUCGCACUUCUUUGCCUCUUCAUCCGUUCGCGCUUUGGCUGCACCGAAGAGGGCUUCCCCUUGCCGUUCUUCGUACCUUCGAAGGCUUCACCUUCCGCUGUUGUCGCCGUUGUGCGCGGAUUGGAGCCGGGGGUGGGCUUCACCUUCCGCUGUCGUCGCCGUUGUGCGCGGAUUCAAGCCGGGGGUCUAAGCGUUCCUGAGUUCUAGGGGAGGAGGGAUUUCCUUCCUCCCUCACCCAAAGUGGGCGUUCCUGCUUACCACUCAUUUCUUCAGUGCCAGGACAGGCCUUCGUAUUUCCUUUUGUUGAUUGGGAUUUCGUCGCUGCCUCCUCAUACUUCUUUGCCUGGGCAGGUGUGUACUCAUUGGACUGACUAUGUUAUCUGUUGCUGUAUUUUGGUAUUGGUCGUGCCACGCUCUAUUCCUGCUCAUGUGUGUCUUGUUUUUCUACUUCAGCAUAAAUACAGUUGCCUUGGCUCAAAGGGAGGAAUAUUUUUCAGGCUUUUUGGUUUUUUUUUCUUAAAAAAAUUUGAGCUCUCCUGGUCCAUCAAGGGGUAUUUUGUAAAAAUCAUAUCAAAAAUACUUUCUCAUGUUAUGCGUAGACUUAUUUGUUAGGUAAAUUUGGGUGGCAGGGUGCUUCUUCAAAAAUAAAUUUGCAUACAGAUACUGUCAGCAAUGCUUUCAUUCAGAGUAUCCUAUAUGUCCAUGUUACAAGCAGUUUCAUCCAAUUAUGGUCUUCCAUAUUUAGUACAUGAAAUUACCCAAGAUGGCUCACAUUUGUAUGGCAUUGAGCUGGAGCUGCCUGCAUCGAUAGCCACUUUUGGUUCACCUCGCCGUUUUUACUGGGCGCCAUCGGGUACGCAGUUGGCUAUAGCUUCUGAGGCCGCAGCUUUGCAGGCACUUAUGGCCUUGCAAACUUUAUUCGGUUUUGUUAUCGUAGAUUAUAGCCUCCAUAGUCUGCUGCUGUAUAGGAACAUUGCACAAUGGUUGCUGCCUGUUGCAAAUAGAGGUGUACAACUCGCCAGGUUACUUCUUAUGGACUGCUAUGAUGGCACUCACAAUACUGCGUAGGUUCUUGCUCAUGCUCACCAGCUGCUACAAGAUAUAGGACACAUGCCACCUGAUUUGUGAUGCCGGCGCUGCUAGCGUCGUUUGGGUCUUAGUUAUUUGACUUAAACGUUUCGGAAUGUCCAACACAACAUACCUUCUUGUUGAUUCUUCACUGAGUUUGAUUUCUUCUCUUAAGUAUUAUUUGUGAGGCCUCAGUCCUGUUCUCUCCAUAUGUUUUCUCUUUCGUGUUUAUUGUUUUAUCAUUCCAGCCUACUGAGGACACUAGGUAUUCGGGUUUGGACCUUUUUAAAAUUGUGGGUUCAUGCUAUUGUGUACCAAAUAAAUGCUGAUUAUUUUUGGCCUCCCAAAUUCCUUCUUCCUUUUUUCUAUUUCCCCUUUUCCAUUGCAUGUUUAGUCUACACGCCUAUAAGUUGGUGCUACACGGUGGAUAUGGACCUCCAAC